AAGUCGUAACAAGGUCUCCGUAGGUGAACCUGCGGAGGGAUCAUUAAAGGAUAUAUAAAAACAAGUGUUUCUUUUUCUCUGUGAGGGGAGAGAGAGCACUUUAACCAAACGAUCACAACCAUAUGAAAAGAGAAAUGAUUUGGUGGGGGCUCUAUAUGAGAAACAAGUGUUUGCCUGAUAAACUGAUUGAACAAAUAAUAUACAACUUUCAACAACGGAUCUCUUGGCUCUCA
rnacentral:misc_RNA from 1 species